CCUGUGCCAGUGCACCUCAAGUUUUAUUAGCUUCCUGAUAAAUCGUCUCUGCCUCCCAGCCAUUGAAGCAUCUUCAGCUGCCAGAGUAAUGUUUUAAAAAGGCAUUUUAAAUGGUCCUUAGCAGCACGGACAUCCAACCGUGGAGGCCUGGGGCUUCUAUGAGAGCCCUCAGAAGUGGCUCCGGCGCGUGAACACCACCGUCGUGUUGGCAAAUUACAACAGUGAGAGGAGCUGAUUACAUAGCAGAUCUAGCCAACAGGUUGCAGCUUGCAGAGAAACGUAAUCAGUGGGAAGUUUUGUGGUCAAUCACUAGAAACUGGGGAGCAUCAGAGGAAAGGACCGCUGCUCUCAGUCCAUGCUUGGAAAGAUGGAAAGCUUUGAGUAGUACCAUUUGUGUGUCCCACAUGUUGUGCGAAGGAGAAAUACCAUUUGUCUUCAUGGUCCAGUAGCCAUCCCCCUUCCAUGGUCAAUAAGAGAAAGUCUGAUCUUCUAGAGGGGAAAGUACCAUUUUGGACCAGAGUGUGAAUCUGUCUACUGGACUGCAAUAGGAGACGUACUUCUAAUCUAGUGCUAACCUCCUGACAGAUGUGUAGAACUGGGACACCUGCUUUAAGGCAGC
rnacentral:lncRNA from 1 species